rnacentral:rRNA from 1 species
GGGCCCGCACAAGCGGUGGAGUAUGUGGUUUAAUUCGAUGCAACGCGAAGAACCUUACCAGGGUUUGAAAUCAUUCCAAAACUCCUUGAAAGAGGAGCCUCCUUCGGGAUGGAAUGACAGGUGGUGCAUGGCUGUCGUCAGCUCGUGUUGUGAAAUGUCGAGUUAAGUCUCGUAACGAGCGCAACCCAUGUCUCUUGUUGCUGUAUCAGUGCUUAAGAGAGACUGCCGAUCAACAUCGGAGGAAGGUGUGGAUGAUGUCAAGUCAGCAUGCCCCUUACAUCCUGGGCUACACACGUACUACAAUGGGAGGGACAAUGGGCUGCAAACCUGCGAAGGCUAGCCAAUCUCAAAAACCCUCUCUCAGUUCGGAUUGCACUCUGCAACUCGAGUGCAUGAAGGUGGAAUCGCUAGUAAUCGC